GUACACGCUGUGACUAGCAUAUCAAUAAGCGGAGGAAAAGAAACUAACAAGGAUUCCCCUAGUAACGGCGAGUGAAGCGGGAAGAGCUCAAAUUUGAAAUCUUAAAGGGUUUCCCUUUACGAAUUGUAGUUUAAAGAAGUGUUUUCUGUUGAGGUUUUGGUAAAAGUUCUUUGGAAUAGGACAUCAUAGAGGGUGAGAAUCCCGUAUUUGACCUUUACUUUCAACUUUGUGAUACACUUUCAAAGAGUCGGAUUGUUUGGGAAUGCAGUCCAAAAUGGGUGGUAAAUUUCAUCUAAAGCUAAAUAUUGGCGAGAGACCGAUAGCGAACAAGUACCGUGAGGGAAAGAUGAAAAGAACUUUGAAAAGAGAGUUAAACAGUACGUGAAAUUGUCAAAAGGGAAGCGUUUGACACCAGUGUUGUUUUUCUGAAAAUCAAUUAAAGAACUGUUUAUGCUAAGCUGUUUAGACUUUAUCAGCUAUCUGUUUAGUUUUGAGCUUUUCUUUAAUGCACUUUUCAGUUAACAAGUCAACAUCAAUUUCUUUUGCUGUAAAAAAGCUUGAGGAAGGUGGCUUGAGAUUCGUCUUAAGUGUUUAUAGCCUCUUGCCUAUGCAGUCGGAGAGAUUGAGGUCUGCAGCGUAGAUCCUUCGGGGCUAAAUGCAUUUGUGCUAAGUUAUAGCAUUUUCAUAGACAACUUGUUGACUAUGAUUUGUCUUGUAGCUUACUCGCUUAUGUUAUUUUACCUACGCUUAGGAUGUUGACUGAUAUGUAGUCGUA
rnacentral:rRNA from 1 species